CUACGGGUGGCUGCAGUGAGGAAUAUUGCACAAUGGGGGGAACCCUGAUGCAGCAACGCCGCGUGGAGGAUGACGCAUUUCGGUGUGUAAACUCCUUUUAUAUGUCAAGAAAAUGACGGCAGCAUAUGAAUAAGCACCGGCUAACUCCGUGCCAGCAGCCGCGGUAAUACGGAGGGGUGCAAGCGUUACUCGGAAUCACUGGGCGUAAAGGACGCGUAGGCGGGUUGGAAAGUCAGGUGUGAAAUCCUACAGCUUAACUGUAGAACUGCACUUGAAACUUCUAAUCUAGAGUAUGGGAGGGGGAGAUGGAAUUAGUGGUGUAGGGGUAAAAUCCGUAGAUAUCACUAGGAAUACCUAAAGCGAAGGCGAUCUCCUGGAACAUUACUGACGCUAAGGCGUGAAAGCGUGGGGAGCAAACAGGAUUAGAUACCCCCGUAGUC
rnacentral:rRNA from 1 species